CUGAGAUGGUAGAACGAGACAGAGAUAAAAUGGGUUACUUGGAAAGAUAAUUGGUAGAAUUAAAUACGUUCGAUGGUAUUGGAGGCCUCUGCCCGGUAAUAUGGUCAUGGUCAUCCAGGCGAAUCACCCCAGGGCCUUAUUCUGUACCUGACUUAGCUUGACUCACGAAGCUUCAGUGGUUCUCCAUUAAUGGGCAUAUGCGUAUGUCUUAUAAAUAGGCUGCCCUGACCUAGUUUCGAUCGUAACUCCUAUCUCCGUCAAAGAGAAUAAGAGACUGUAUCCUGAAGUAGUGAAAAUCGCCGCAGGGAAUUGCCGCCCUCAGAGAACCUCAUAUGUAUUAACAAUAAAAGAGAAAAAAAGUGAUAAAAAAAGAAUU